rnacentral:rRNA from 1 species
GGAGUAUGGACCGUGUCUCAGUUCCAUUGUGGCCGUUCAUCCUCUCAGACCGGCUACCGAUCGUCGGUUUGGUGCGCCUUUACCACACCAACUGCCUAAUCGGACGCAGGCUCCUCGCAAAGCGAUAAAUCUUUAGUACAAGCCCCAUGCGAAACCUGUACAACAUCCGGUAUUAGCGUCCCUUUCGGAACGUUGUCCCCGACUUUGCGGCAGAUUACCUGCGCUUUACUCACCCGUUCGCCACUAGCACCGAAGUGCCCGUUCGACUUGCAUGUGUUAAGCACGCCGCCAGCGUCGUCCUCGAGCCAUGAUCAACUACU